GGGAAUGUGGCUUAGUGGUAGAGUGCUUGCCUAUCAUGCAUGAAGCCCUGGGUUCGAUUCCUCAGUACCA
rnacentral:tRNA from 1 species